rnacentral:rRNA from 1 species
AUGGGACCGCCGCCGUCCAGGCUGCCCCUGCUGGCCGCCCUCGUCGCGGCGGCGCUGCUCGCCGGCGCGGCCGCGGCGACGGAGGAGGCAUACGUCACGCUGCUCUACGGCGACGAGUUCGUCCUCGGCGUACGCGUCCUGGGCAAGUCCAUCCGCGACACCGGCACGCGGCGCGACAUGGUCGUGCUCGUCUCCGACGGCGUCUCCGAGUACUCGCGGCAGCUCCUCGAGGCUGAUGGUUGGAUCGUGAAGCGUAUAACUUUAUUGGCUAAUCCUAACCAAGUGAGACCAACGAGGUUUUGGGGUGUCUACACGAAGUUAAAGAUAUUCAACAUGACAAGCUACAAAAAAGUUGUUUAUCUUGAUGCAGAUACUGUAGUUGUAAAAAGUAUUGAGGAUGUUUUCAAGUGUGGGAAGUUCUGUGGGAACUUGAAGCAUUCUGAAAGAAUGAAUUCCGGAGUGAUGGUUGUGGAGCCAUCUGAAACUGUUUUCAAGGAUAUGAUUAGCCAAGUAGACCGGUUGCCUUCCUACACUGGAGGGGAUCAAGGUUUUCUUAAUUCGUAUUAUGCUGAUUUUGCUAACUCCCGCGUGUAUGAGCCAGACUCACCUUUAACACCUGAACCGGAGACACAGCGCCUUUCUACCUUGUAUAAUGCUGAUGUUGGUCUUUACAUGCUAGCCAACAAGUGGAUGGUUGAUGAGAAGGAACUUAGAGUUAUUCACUACACACUAGGUCCCCUUAAACCCUGGGACUGGUGGACAGCUUGGCUUGUAAAACCUGUGGAGAUAUGGCAGGAUGUUAGGCAAAAACUUGAAGAAUCUCUUCCGGGAACCGGUGGGGGAAGGAACCCUCAUGAUCAGCUGGUCGUCAAAUUUUUAUUCAUUCUUCCCUUCUGCCUGCUGUUAUUUGGUUAUUACCAAUCAUGCUUUCAGAACAAUAAGGAUUUUCCAAGUGUGCAGUCUUUAUGUGUGUUCGCUAGAAGAGGCCGUCAUAAGUACAAGUCUGAAGAGGCACUUCCAUCUUAUUCAGCAGUUGGUGUUUCAUCAUCUACAUUUUCGACUUCAAAUCAAAGAAUCUCUAACGGGCCACAUCUGAAGCUGCCUUCUUAUUUUGGGGCGAUUGCUGUGCUAAUCUGUUUUAUGUCUGCUGGUGUCUCUCUUGCCUUUGCUUUCACUAUCAUUCCACGACAAAUUAUGCCAUGGACAGGUCUGCUACUGAUGUUUGAGUGGACCUUCGUGGCAUUCUUCUUAUUGUUUGGUGGCUAUCUCCGUUUUGUCUAUCGAUGGGGAAGUAUCAGUGCAACUCAUGUGGGAUAUAGCAAUUCUGAUUCAUCAGAGAAUCACAUGAGUACAGGUCAUCAGCGCAAUAUAUCCGACUUUGACAUGGAGGCGACAUUUUACUGGGCAGGGAUGGCUGUCAUAGCUGUCAUUACUGUAUUUUCACCAACUAUCUUGGGUAUAACUGCAUUAUUUACAAAGCUAGGGUUGAUGGUUGCUGGCGGUGUUCUGCUGGCAUCUUUUAUGACGUAUGCUUCGGUGCAUCUUGCUAUCUCAGCCUUCCACAAGGGCCAGAAAGAUAGGAAUGCGUCGAGAACUAGAAGAAUUUGUUUUUGGUGUUUGUAG